rnacentral:rRNA from 1 species
GGAUAACCAUUGGAAACGAUGGCUAAUACCGCNUAAUGCCUACGGNNNNNNNNGGGGACCUUCGGGCCUCUCGCGUCAAGAUAUGCCUAGGUGGGAUUAGCUAGUUGGUGAGGUAAUGGCUCACCAAGGCGACGAUCCCUAGCUGGUCUGAGAGGAUGAUCAGCCACACUGGAACUGAGACACGGUCCAGACUCCUACGGGAGGCAGCAGUGGGGAAUAUUGCACAAUGGGCGAAAGCCUGAUGCAGCCAUGCCGCGUGUAUGAAGAAGGCCUUCGGGUUGUAAAGUACUUUCAGUUGUGAGGAAGGGGGUAGCGUUAAUAGCGCUAUCUCUUGACGUUAGCAACAGAAGAAGCACCGGCUAACUCCGUGCCAGCAGCCGCGGUAAUACGGAGGGUGCGAGCGUUAAUCGGAAUUACUGGGCGUAAAGCGCAUGCAGGUGGUUCAUUAAGUCAGAUGUGAAAGCCCGGGGCUCAACCUCGGAACUGCAUUUGAAACUGGUGAACUAGAGUACUGUAGAGGGGGGUAGAAUUUCAGGUGUAGCGGUGAAAUGCGUAGAGAUCUGAAGGAAUACCAGUGGCGAAGGCGGCCCCCUGGACAGAUACUGACACUCAGAUGCGAAAGCGUGGGGAGCAAACA